CGGACCCUUCGGGGUUAGUGGCGGACGGGUGAGUAACACGUGGGAACGUGCCUUUAGGUUCGGAAUAGCUCCUGGAAACGGGUGGUAAUGCCGAAUGUGCCCUUCGGGGGAAAGAUUUAUCGCCUUUAGAGCGGCCCGCGUCUGAUUAGCUAGUUGGUGAGGUAAAGGCUCACCAAGGCGACGAUCAGUAGCUGGUCUGAGAGGAUGACCAGCCACAUUGGGACUGAGACACGGCCCAAACUCCUACGGGAGGCAGCAGUGGGGAAUCUUGCGCAAUGGGCGAAAGCCUGACGCAGCCAUGCCGCGUGGAUGAUGAAGGUCUUAGGAUUGUAAAAUCCUUUCACCGGUGAAGAUAAUGACUGUAGCCGGAGAAGAAGCCCCGGCUAACUUCGUGCCAGCAGCCGCGGUAAUACGAAGGGGGCUAGCGUUGCUCGGAAUUACUGGGCGUAAAGGGAGCGUAGGCGGACAUUUAAGUCAGGGGUGAAAUCCCAGAGCUCAACUCUGGAACUGCCUUUGAUACUGGGUGUCUUGAGUGUGAGAGAGGUAUGUGGAACUCCGAGUGUAGAGGUGAAAUUCGUAGAUAUUCGGAAGAACACCAGUGGCGAAGGCGACAUACUGGCUCAUUACUGACGCUGAGGCUCGAAAGCGUGGGGAGCAAACAGGAUUAGAUACCCUGGUAGUCCACGCCG
rnacentral:rRNA from 1 species